UACGGGGGGGGCAAGCGUUGUUCGGAAUUACUGGGCGUAAAGGGCUCGUAGGCGGCCAUCUAAGUCAGACGUGAAAUCCCCCGGCUCAACCUGGGAACUGCGUCUGAUACUGGACGGCUUGAGUUUGGGAGAGGGAUGUAGAAUUCCAGGUGUAGCGGUGAAAUGCGUAGAUAUCUGGAGGAAUACCGGUGGCGAAGGCGGCAUCCUGGACCAAUACUGACGCUGAGACGCGAAAUCUAGGGGAGCAAACUGG
rnacentral:rRNA from 1 species